rnacentral:tRNA from 1 species
GAGGGUAUACCUCAGUGGUAGAGCACAUGCUUAGUAUGCAUGAGGUCCAGGAUUCAAUCUCUAGUACCUCCA